GUGCGCUGCAGGGGUUUAUCUGAAAAAAACCCGCACAUUUAAUCCUCCCCUCCCCUCGUGAUCUUCUCUUUCUCUUCUCCACAAAACUCUCUCGGUUCCCCAGAGAUCCCCAAAUCGAUCUCAUCUCCCCCCGUCCUCCUCCCAAAUCGCAACCAUCAUCGAUUUCUCAUUCGCCGCUAGACUACGAUCUCCGCGAGAUCAGAUCGGCCAAGCCCUCUUCGAUUUCACCGCCGCGUGACCAAGGUCUCCGCCGUGAGAUCCCUCCGACCCGCCUCCGCCGCGAGAUCCCUCCGACCCGCCGCCCCGAUUCGAAGUCAGGAUUUCGGAAUGGAGGAAACAAGUGUUAUUGGAAGUGAAACUUCGGCCAAUACUCUAAACUUAUGCACGGGUGAUGGAUGAUGGAGGAUGUUGGAGCAUACUUUGACAAAAUUAGAUCAAUAUCUUUUGCAGUUUACUCUAUUACAGGAUGAAUCCACAAUUGGUUGUAACUCUGCUUUGGUUGUAACUCUGUUUUGUAACUUUGGUUGUAACUCUGUUUUGUAACUUUGGUUGUAACUCUGCUUUGGUUGUAACUCUCCUUUGCCAAGAGAGAAGGUGGUGAGGUCUGGAACAAAGACAAACUUUAUGGAGGGUUGGCAUUUGAUUUUGUAUGUACUUCAUUAAUUGAUGAGUUAUACCUUGAUCUUGUUGCCUUGGUUUA